rnacentral:rRNA from 1 species
ACUCAAAUGAAUAGACGGGGACCCGCACAAGCGGUGGAGCAUGUGGAUUAAUUCGAUACUAACCGAAGAACCUUACCCAGACUUGACAUCGAUCGCAAAGCUCUGAAAGGAGCUCCUCCCCCACAAGGGGACGUGAAGACACUUGUUGCAUGGCUGUCGUCAGCUCGUGCCGUGAGGUGUACGGUUAAGUCCGCCAACGAGCGCAACCCACGUCCUGUGUUACCAGCAUGAAAGAUGGGCACUCACAGGAGACCGCCGGUGUAAGCCGGAGGAAGGUGUGGAUGACGUCAAGUCAGCAUGGCAGUUACGUCUGGGGCUUCACACAUGCUACAAUGGGCGCAACAAAGGGCCGCGAUACCGCGAGGUGGAGCCAAUCCCAAAAAUACGCCCCCAGUUCAGAUUGCAGUCUGCAACUCGACUGCAUGAAGGCGGAAUCGCUAGUAAACGCAGGUCAGCUAUACUGCGUUGAAUACGUUCCCGGGUCUUGUACACACCGCCCGU